GAUCCUGGCUCAGGAUGAACGCUAGCUACAGGCUUAACACAUGCAAGUCGAGGUGCAGCAUGGUCUUAGCUUGCUAAGACUGAUGGCGACCGGCGCGACGGGUGAGUAACACGUAUCCAACCUGCCGUCUACUCUUGGACAGCCUUCUGAAAGGAAGAUUAAUACAAGAUGGCAUCAUGAGUCCGCAUGUUCACAUGAUUAAAGGUAUUCCGGUAGACGAUGGGG
rnacentral:rRNA from 1 species